GCCUCGGUGCUAUAGUGGUAGUAGCACGCGUCUCGGGUAUGAAAAAAACGCGGGUUCGCUUCCGGCCUGAGGCC